rnacentral:rRNA from 1 species
UGGGGAAUAUUGCACAAUGGGCGCAAGCCUGAUGCAGCCAUGCCGCGGGUGUGAAGAAGGCCUUCGGGUUGUAAAGUACUUUCAGCGGGGAGGAAGGCGUUAAGGUUAAUAACCUUGGCGAUUGACGUUACCCGCAGAAGAAGCACCGGCUAACUCCGUGCCAGCAGCCGCGGUAAUACGGAGGGUGCAAGCGUUAAUCGGAAUUACUGGGCGUAAAGCGCACGCAGGCUGUCUGUCAAGUCGGAUGUGAAAUCCCCGGGCUCAACCUGGGAACUGCAUUCGAAACUGGCAGGCUAGAGUCUUGUAGAGGGGGGUAGAAUUCCAGGUGUAGCGGUGAAAUGCGUAGAGAUCUGGAGGAAUACCGGUGGCGAAGGCGGCCCCCUGGACAAAGACUGACGCUCAGGUGCGAAAGCGUGGAGAGCAAACAGG